CCUAUGGGGGGCAGCAGUGGGGGAUAUUGCACAAUGGGGGAAACCCUGAUGCAGCGACGCCGCGUGAGCGAUGAAGUAUUUCGGUAUGUAAAGCUCUAUCAGCAGGGAAGAAAAUGACGGUACCUGACUAAGAAGCCCCGGCUAACUACGUGCCAGCAGCCGCGGUAAUACGUAGGGGGCAAGCGUUAUCCGGAUUUACUGGGUGUAAAGGGAGCGUAGACGGCAGUGCAAGUCUGAAGUGAAAGGCAAGGGCUCAACCCUUGGACUGCUUUGGAAACUGUGCUGCUGGAGUGUCGGAGAGGCAA
rnacentral:rRNA from 1 species